GACGAACGCUGGCGGCGUGCUUAACACAUGCAAGUCGAGCGGUAAGGCCCUUUCGGGGGUACGACGAGCGGCGAACGGGUGAGUAACACGUGGGUGACCUGCCCUCAGCUCUGGGAUAAGCCUGGGAAACCGGGUCUAAUACUGGAUAUGACUCCAUGACGCAUGUUGUGGGGUGGAAAGCCUUGUGCGGCUGAGGAUGGGCCCGCGGCCUAUCAGCUUGUUGGUGGGGUGANGGCCUACCAAGGCGACG
rnacentral:rRNA from 1 species